AAAUUUUUGGUUAAGUUAGCUGAAAAAUUUUUGGUUUGGGCAUCUAAUGGAAAUCUUGAUAAAAAAUGUAAUAGGGGCGUCACGCUACGAAAGUUUAUGAGUAGGCAUUAGCUUGUGAUCCAUAAAUUCCCCAUAAGUAAACUUUAUAUGAUAUGAAAAUUUAGAGUAAUGCGAAUUGAAUCAUCUUAGUAGCAUUAAUAAAAAUCAACCGAGGGGUCGUUAUUAACGGUGAGUGAAAGCGAUUUAAAGCUUAAAACGCAACAAAUUUAACUUAUAAAACAACUUUAAAAGGUAAAAGUCCUGUAGUGAGUUAAAAGUUGGGUAUUUAUAAGUAACGUGAAAUUUUAUGUUUUGCAUGAAUAGAGGAGAACCACCUUCUAAGCUUCUUACCUUUUUUUAAUCGAUAGCAAACGAGUACUGUGAAGAAAAGAUGAAAAAUUCCGUAAGGUCAAAAUCUUAAAUUGGAUGUCCUUAAAUAUUUGAAGUUUUAAAUAAACGACAAAGUUCCUUUUGCAUAAUGAGUCAGUAAGUUAAUAGGUAUAGCGAGUCAAAAUAUUUAUAGAUAGACUAAAUUAAAGUAAUAUUUAUUAGACCUGAAACCAAGUGAUCUAGUUAUGAGCAGGUUAAAAAUUCUUUAAUAAGUUUUUGAGGACCGAACUCGUGCAUGUAGCAAAAUGUAGAGAAGACUUGUGACUAGAAGUGAAAGUCUAAACAAACUUGGAAAUAGCCGGUUUUUCACGAAACGUAUUUUAGUACGGCAUUAAUUAUUUUUUAAGUUCAAGAUAAAGUUCAGAUUAAAGUAAGGGAUUUUAUAAUUUACUUAUUUUAGUUUACCUUAUUAAUUUUAAUUUAAUAGAAUUAAUAGACAGUCUUUAGGCGAUAAGGUUUAAAGACGAGAGGGUAACAACCCAGACCGUAUGUUAAGAUCUUCAAAUUAUAGGUUCAGUGUGGAAGUUUUUAAAAAGAUCAAAUAAUUUUAAAUAGGCUUAGAAGCAGCCUUUUAUUAGAGAAAGCGUUUUAGCUCACUAUUAUUUUUUUAAAAAUUAAGAUAAUGGGGGCUUAAACUAUAUAUCGAAACAACGGACUAAAUUUAUUUAGUGGUAGUGAAACGUUCUGUAAACUCUGAUUUUGGUUUUAAAACCAAUCUGUAAACUCAGAAGUGUCUAUGCUGACAUGAGUAGCGCAAACUAUGUUAAUAAAUCAUAGUCAUUUCAUGUUUAAGGUUUUCAAUGCAAUUUUAAAUUCAUUGAGUUAAUCGGUCCUUAAGAGAAGAAUGAUUGUGAAAACUAUACUCGAUAGGAAUUACUAAAAGAUCUGCUAUAUGUGAUUAUUUAUAUCAUUUAAAAGAGUAUGAGUAAUGUAAUAAGUGGUUUUCGAAUUAAAAACUCUCCUCUUCAAGAAAAAAUUAUAGCUUCAAAGACCGUACUUAAACCGACGCUGGAAAACUUAUUGAAUGUAUUAAAGUGAAUGAAUAAAUUAUAUUUAAGGAACUAGGCAAAUUAACUUCGUAAGUUCGCAAUAAGAAGGACCUUUUAUAAGGUAAAAUAAAACAAAAAACAACGACUGGUUACCAAAACCACAGGACUUUGCAAAUUUUUUUAAAAAGUAUAAAGUCUGACGCCUGCCCAGUGCUUAAAAAUAAUGAGUAAAGGUAGUUAGCCUUAUCUUUAAAAGUAAGUGAACGGCGGUUCUAACUAUAAGAAUCCUCAGGUAGCGAAAUUCCUUGACGGGUAAAUUCCGUCCUGCAUGAAUGGUGUAACGAUUGUUUUACUGUCUUAAAUAUAAAUUCAGCGAAAUUACAGUACCUGUGAAAAUGCAGGUUACUUGCAGCAAGACGGAAAGACCCUAGAUCCUUUACUUGAUUUUCGUACUGUAGGGAUUAUAAAUUUGUGUAGAAUAGGUGGGAGUUUUGAGCAUUCGUGAAAUACCACCCUAUUUAAAUAAUAUCCUACUUAUUUAUUAAUACUAUUAAAGAAACUACGAAAAAGAAAGUUUACUUGGGACGAGUAUCUCCUAAAAAGUAACGGAGAUGUACAUAAGGUAAAUUAAAAACGUAUAAUGGCUUAAAUUUGCUUGACUAUAAGAUCGAUAGAUCAAAUUGGGACGAAAGUCAGUCAUAGUGACCCGAUAUUUAAGAGUGGAAUUUAAUAUCGUUCAACAGAUAAAAGGAACUCUAGGGAUAACAGAUUCAUCGUGAUUGAGAGUUCAUAUCUAUGUCACGGUUUGAUACCUCGAUGUCGACUCAUCUUAUCCUGAAAUUGGAGUAGAUUUCAAGGGUCUAGUUGUUCGCUAGUUAAAAAGGUACGUGAGUUGGGUUCAGAACGUCGUGAGACAGUUCGGUCCCUAUCUGCUGUGAGAUUUGAAAAAUAAGGGUCCUUUUUCUAGUACGAGAGGAUUGAAAUAUUUUAACCUCUGGUUAAUUGAUUGUUAAACCUUUAGCAUUGUCAAGUAGCUACGUUAAUCUUGUAUAAAUACUGAAAGAAUCAAAAGUAUUAAAACUUACCCCAAAUUUUUCCAGAAUAUUCUAAAAGAUUAUUAGAUUGAUCGGUUUAAAAAUUUUUUUAGUAAUAAAAAUUCUUGAUAAAUACGAAAAUAUUCAUUAAAAUAAUAUCAAUUUAA
rnacentral:rRNA from 1 species